rnacentral:rRNA from 1 species
AUGGAGGGAGUCGUUGGGUUGUUCAAGGGGUUGAGGCUCUCGGAGGAAAAUACGAAAGGGGUUAUGAUCAGAAUUUCAGCAAGGGCCAAGGGCAAAACCACGGAGGCGCAAGCGGUGGGUAAGGUAUUGUCUAAUAAAUUGGCACACCAAGAUGCAAUCAGUUUGUCUCUGGGGAGAGUCUGGUGCCCGAGCAAAGGUAUUGGUUGCAAGGAGGUGGGCAAGAACAUGUUUAUAUUCUCGUUCCACCAGGAGUCCGGGAAGUGA